rnacentral:rRNA from 1 species
GUUUGACCUCAGAUCAGUAGGAAUACCCGCUGAACUUAAGCAUAUCAAUAAGCGGAGGAAAAGAAACCAACAGGAUUGCCUCAGUAACGGCGAGUGAAGCGCAUCAGCUCAAUUGGAAUCUGGCUUCUUUGAGUCCGAGUUGUAUUUGUAGAGAAACUUG